GGCUGUUUAAGAGGAGGACAGCCAAGACAGAAGAACGUACUGCACCACAAAAUUGAAAGAACUAAAUUCUUUUACCCACAACAUGAGGCAACUCAGAAGGAGGGGUUGGGAUUUGGGAGCAACUGACUUCUGUACUACCCCGGGACAUCUCAUUCACAGUUUGCUUCAGCUGCAAUAACGAAGAGCUGCACAGAACAGGACGAAGAUUUCAAAACCCAGGGGCCCCCGGAGCUCCUGUUGUCAUAGAAAAAGGCCUGGCAAGCUCAUCACUCAAGACAUUCGCUCCACACCCCACCCACAAGUCCUGCACCCAUUGUGUAAAUGCCUUGAAGGCUGUCUGCAGCAGUUCUGUUGCCCAGGAGUACUGUCCUAAAACUGCAGCUUUGUUUUGUCACAUUCAGCAUACAGCAGCAGGACAUGUACUACUGUACUACUCUUAGCACGAGGACAUAAAAGUGCAAACUAUAAUCCACCUACACACAACAUACUAGUAGACCCAUGACUCUACAGAUCAGACCAACCUUUCUGCGUUUUAUUUUUUUUAAUAACAGAUGUUUCUGCCUAGUUUAUAUUUAUCACAUUCGGCUUCAAGAGUGGGUUUUAUUGAUAUGCAACACAUGCAGACGUAGCCAUGCGCUCUAAUGGCUGACGUACAGUAUAUUUAAUAUUUCAAGACUGAAUUUGUGCAACUCUUGCUGACAUUUUGGUUUGUAAUACCAACCAGUGUUCAAUGGGCACAGAUUCUAGGGUUAGAGGAAGUGCCCAGUUAGGGUUAGAAAAACCGUAAUGCUUUGACUUCAAUCAAAGUUAUGGUUAUAUUCCUCAAGGCAUCAAAUAUUUAUAUUUUUUUUUAUCAUAGUAAAAUCUAGGGUCUCACCUAUGGGAGACACAUUACAUAAGUUCCCCAAGUGACAACUUUUACAAAAUGUGUAGUUAAGAGCAAAACACCACUAAUACUAUAUUUCUAUUCACAUUCAAAAUGCAGAUUUAUCACUAUCAGCAAGCCAUGUCUCAGAGGAAGUGUAACCCUAGCCCUUAUUUCAGUUUUACCUAUUCAAGAAGCUGCGCUGCGCACAACACUGAAAUUCAUUUCAAGCAGGAAUUUAUUGAAAAAUUCCUUAAAAGUCUUUUAGGGGGCUGGGUCUUAGGUAAUAAUCAGAUAUAAAGUCUUUAGACUGAAUUUGUGCAAUUUACCUUGUUUCAGAGGAAGUGGAACCCUAACCCUAAUUUCAGUUUUAACUCAUCAAAGAAUCUGCACUGAAUAAUAUAUAUAUAUAUUUCAAACAGGAAUUUCUUGGGCAAAUGCUUUUAAACCUCUCAGGGUGCAUGUGCCAUAUGUAAUAAUGAAAUUCGUUGACCUGUAUGUAGAAGUACAGAAUAUCAUGAAAAGUGCACUAUGGAGUAAAAAUACUUGCUGCACAUACUGUACAAAAGGGAUCAUGGGCGAGACACUGCCACUGACAAGGACACUACACACCAGAGGCUGCUACAGCACGAGCUGCAGGGUCUGAUGGGCAGAGCUUCUACUGACAGAGGCCACUGUGGUUAUCUAUAGGACGGCCUUGCCCAUGGUCCCAUUUGUACAAGUGUAACAUACCAUUACUCAGUUUCUAUUUAAAAAGCUUUCUGAAAAGGCCACUUAACAUUGCAAGUACCCUGUACAGUAAAACACAGGGUGUGCUGUAAUUCUUGGGUCUGUGAAAAGUGCAGGGACUAACUACAGUACUGUAUGUCUCUGCUUCUGUCGCUAACGUGUGGAUGUGGGAGUGAUCAAAUGAUUUUAUAUUUGUUGGAUGUCAUCUAGCUACAGGUUUAAAUAUAGCCGGCACAUUUCAUGACACCGUGCGCAGAUUAAAAUUAGACAGCACUACGGAGUGAAAUGCAGUGCUAGGCAUGCAACUAUAAUUUGAAUUUUUAUCAAAUUUUAGAGCAACAUCAUUCCCUGACAAUUCCUGCUUUGUCACUUGCCCACGUAGUUAUUCUACAUGCGUCUUCUUUAGAGCCCCUAAUAUUUUUUAAUAUUCACUGCUACUGUACUGUACAUUUCAAAACCAUCUUAACAUAAAAAGUGCACAUAAGUAAUCAGUAUUCUGUGUUUAAUAUCCUUACAUUCUGAAUAAGACUGGAGUCAAUAUUAUACAAAUUUAUUACUAGUGGCCUUCGUACCAAAACCAUUUAAGAACACAGUAGAAAAUAAAAAUAAAAAAAUAAUAGGAAAUGCAAAUCAACUACAGGGUCCAAACUAAAGCACUUUAACAUUUCUUAUGCUAACCUGGGUGGUUAGCAUAAGUGUCGCAGCUAAAAGCUGAUUCCAGCUACAGGUACAGUAGCUAAUUGUCAUAUCUGGGUACAAGCAGAAAAGAGCCGAUGCUGAACUCAGGAGGGCC